GGCGCGAUGGCGGAGUGGUUAACGCGAGAGACUAGAAUUAGCUUAUCUCUUCCCUUCGGGGGCGUAGGUUCGAAUCCUGCUCGCGUCG
rfam:Emmonsia parva TAMH 139 supercont1.2564, whole genome shotgun sequence.